rnacentral:rRNA from 1 species
GACGAACGCUGGCGGCAUGCCUAACACAUGCAAGUCGAACGGAGAUUACUUCGGUAAUCUUAGUGGCGAACGGGUGAGUAACGCGUGGGCAACCUGCCCUCUAGAUGGGGACAACAUCCCGAAAGGGGUGCUAAUACCGAAUGUGACAGCAAUCUCGCAUGAGGAUGCUGUGAAAGAUGGCCUCUAUUUAUAAGCUAUCGCUAGAGGAUGGGCCUGCGUCUGAUUAGCUAGUUGGUGGGGUAACGGCCUACCAAGGCGAUGAUCAGUAGCCGGUCUGAGAGGAUGAACGGCCACAUUGGGACUGAGACACGGCCCAGACUCCUACGGGAGGCAGCAGUGGGGAAUCUUCCGCAAUAGGCGAAAGCCUGACGGAGCAAUGCCGCGUGAGUGAUGAAGGAAUUCGUUCCGUAAAGCUCUUUUGUUUAUGACGAAUGUGCAGAUUGUAAAUAAUAAUCUGUAAUGAUGGUAGUAAACGAAUAAGCCACGGCUAACUACGUG